ACAGCAGUCGCCGCGGUAAUACGAAGGGGGCUAGCGUUGUUCGGAUUUACUGGGCGUAAAGCGCACGUAGGCGGACUUUUAAGUCAGGGGUGAAAUCCCGGGGCUCAACCCCGGAACUGCCUUUGAUACUGGAAGUCUUGAGUAUGGUAGAGGUGAGUGGAAUUCCGAGUGUAGAGGUGAAAUUCGUAGAUAUUCGGAGGAACACCAGUGGCGAAGGCGGCUCACUGGACCAUUACUGACGCUGAGGUGCGAAAGCGUGGGGAGCAAACAGGAUUAGAUACCCCCGUAGUCCCUGUCUCUUAUAC
rnacentral:rRNA from 1 species